rnacentral:rRNA from 1 species
CGCCGCCCGUCACACCAUGGGAGUUGGUUUCACCCGAAGGCAGUGCGCUAACCGCAAGGAGGCAGCUGACCACGGUGGGAUCAGCGACUGGGGUG